GACCACGUAGCUCAGUUGGCAGAGCAUUGGGCUAGUAUUCCAAAGGUCGUAGGUUUGAUUCCCACCGUGGCCG